rnacentral:rRNA from 1 species
AUUGAACGCUGGCGGCAGGCCUAACACAUGCAAGUCGAGCGGCAGCGGAAAGUAGCUUGCUACUUUGCCGGCGAGCGGCGGACGGGUGAGUAAUGUCUGGGAAACUGCCCGAUGGAGGGGGAUAACUACUGGAAACGGUAGCUAAUACCGCAUAACGUCGCAAGACCAAAGAGGGGGACCUUCGGGCCUCUUGCCAUCGGAUGUGCCCAGAUGGGAUUAGCUAGUAGGUGGGGUAACGGCUCACCUAGGCGACGAUCCCUAGCUGGUCUGAGAGGAUGACCAGCAACACUGGAACUGAGACACGGUCCAGACUCCUACGGGAGGCAGAAGUGGGGAAUAUUGCACAAUGGGCGCAAGCCUGAUGCAGCCAUGCCGCGUGUAUGAAGAAGGCCUUCGGGUUGUAAAGUACUUUCAGCGGGGAGGAAGGUGUUGAGGUUAAUAACCUCAGCAAUUGACGUUACCCGCAGAAGAAGCACCGGCUAACUCCGUGCCAGCAGCCGCCGUAA